AACGAACGCUGGCGGCAGGCCAACACAUGCAAGUCGAACGCCCCGCAAGGGGAGUGGCAGACGGGUGAGUAACGCGUGGGAACCUACCUUGAGGUACGGAACAACCAAGGGAAACUUUGGCUAAUACCGUAUGAGCCCUUCUGGGGAAAGAUUUAUCGCCUUGAGAUGGGCCCGCGUCGGAUUAGCUAGUUGGUAGGGUAAUGGCCUACCAAGGCGACGAUCCGUAGCUGGUCUGAGGGGAUGACCAGCCACACUGGGACUGAGACACGGCCCAGACUCCUACGGGAGGCAGCAGUGGGGAAUAUUGGACAAUGGGCGCAAGCCUGAUCCAGCCAUGCCGCGUGUGUGAUGAAGGCCUUAGGGUUGUAAAGCACUUUCGCCGAUGAAGAUAAUGACGGUAGUCGGAGAAGAAGCCCCGGCUAACUUCGUGCCAGCAGCCGCGGUAAAAC
rnacentral:rRNA from 1 species